rnacentral:rRNA from 1 species
UACGUAGGUGGCAAGCGUUUGUCCGGAUUUAUUGGGUUUAAAGGGUGCGUAGGCGGCCCUGUAAGUCAGUGCUGAAAUAUCCCAGCUUAACUGGGAGGGUGGCAUUGAUACUGCGGGGCUAGAGUACAGAUGAGGUAGGCGGAAUUGACGGUGUAGCGGUGAAAUGCUUAGAUAUCGUCAAGAACACCUAUAGCGAAGGCAGCUUACUAGGCUGUAACUGACGCUGAGGCACGAAAGUGUGGGGAUCAAACAGG